rnacentral:rRNA from 1 species
GGGUGAGAUGUGAUGGGGACCCGUAAGGGGAAGUCAGUGAUCCUAUGCUGCCAAGAAAAGCAUCGACGCGAGGUUUUAGCCGCCCGUACCCCAAACCGACACAGGUGGUCAGGUAGAGAAUACUAAGGAGAUCGAGAGAAUCAUGGUGAAGGAACUCGGCAAAAUGCCCCCGUAACUUCGGGAGAAGGGGGGCCAUCCACUUAUACGGAUUUACUCCGGAAAGGGUGUGGUGGCCGCAGAGACCAGUGGGAAGCGACUGUUUACUAAAAACACAGGUCCGUGCGAACAAGCAAUUGGAUGUAUACGGACUGACGCCUGCCCGGUGCUGGAAGGUUAAGAGGAGAGGUCAACCCUUCGGGGUGAAGCUUUGAAUUUAAGCCCCAGUAAACGGCGGUGGUAACAAUAACCAUCCUAAGGUAGCGAAAUUCCUUGUCGGGUAAGUUCCGACCUGCACGAAUGGCGUAACGACUUCCCAGCUGUCUCCACCAUGAACUCGGCGAAAUUGCACUACGAGUAAAGAUGCUCGUUACGCGCAGAAGGACGGAAAGACCCCGUGACCUUUACUACAGCUUGGUAUUGGUGUUCGGUGUGGCUUGUGUAGGAUAGGUGGGAGACUGUGAAGCAGGGACGCUAGUUCUUGUGGAGUCAUUGUUGAAAUACCACUCUGGUCAUAUUGGAUAUCUAACUACGGACCCUGAUCGGGUUCUGGGACAGUGCCUGGUGGGUAGUUUAACUGGGGCGGUUGCCUCCUAAAGAGUAACGGAGGCGCCCAAAGGUUCCCUCAACCUGGUUGGCAAUCAGGUGGCGAGUGUAAGUGCACAAGGGAGCUUGACUGUGAGACUGACAGGUCGAGCAGGGACGAAAGUCGGGACUAGUGAUCCGGCAGUGGCUUGUGGAAGCGCUGUCGCUCAACGGAUAAAAGGUACCUCGGGGAUAACAGGCUGAUCUUGCCCAAGAGUCCAUAUCGACGGCAUGGUUUGGCACCUCGAUGUCGGCUCGUCGCAUCCUGGGGCUGGAGUAGGUCCCAAGGGUUGGGCUGUUCGCCCAUUAAAGCGGUACGCGAGCUGGGUUUAGAACGUCGUGAGACAGUUCGGUCCCUAUCCUCUGCGCGCGUUGGAAAUUUGAGAGGAUCUGACCCUAGUACGAGAGGACCGGGUUGGACGGACCUCUGGUGUGCCAGUUGUUCUGCCAAGGGCAUGGCUGGUUGGCUACGUUCGGGAUGGAUAACCGCUC